CUGGUUGAUCCUGCCAGUAGCAUAUGCUUGGCUCAAAGAUUAAGCCAUGAAAGUCUAAGUACAUAAGGCCGGUACAAUGAAACUGCUAAUAGCUCAUCAGUUAUGGAUCCUUUGAUCACUCCAACAUUACUUGGAUAACUGUGGCAAAUCUAGAGCUAAUACAGAUGCAGGAUCUUAAUUUGAGCCAGUUUGCUACAGCAGGAAAAUAAUCCUACUGAAACAGGAAAUUUGAAUUAUUUUGUGGAUUCUAAUUAAUAGACAUUCUUGUAGGGUUUGAUAAAUUUUUUGUAAAUGAAAAUCAAGUGGCAAUUACAAAUUUCAGAAGCCUUAUCAAAUCUACACUACAUGUUUUGAAUGUCCUGCAUUGCAGGAAAGUUAUCCUGCAGUAGGGUGAUCAAAUUAAGAUCCUACAUCUGUACAUGCCAACGAACGUUGACUUUCGAGGAUUCGUGCAUUUAUCAAACCCAAAACCCAUGUGGGGUCCUCUCGGGCACCCCAAACACUUUUUGUGACGCUAGAUAACCUUGAGCUGAUAGCGUGACCUUCGUUGCAGUGACGUUUCAUUAUAAUAUCUGAUCUAUCAACUUUCCAUCGGUUCUUCUGUGCACACUAUGGUGACCACGGGUAAUGAGGAAUCAGGGUUUGAUUCCGGCGAGUGAGCCUGAGAAACGGCUAUCAUACCCAAGGAUUAAGGCAGCUGGUCGCGCAAAUUACCCACUGCCGACUUGGGGAAAUAGGACUCUCCUGAGGCCCUGCAUUUGGAGUGAGCACACUUGAAAUUAUUUAACGAGGAUUCCUUGCUAAUAUU
rnacentral:ncRNA from 1 species